GUCGAACGAUACCUUCGGGUAUAGUGGCGCACGGGUGAGUAACACGUGGGAAUAUACCUUUCAGUGGGGGAUAACAUCGGGAAACUGAUGCUAAUACCGCAUACGCCCUUAGGGGGAAAGAUUUAUCGCUGAAAGAUUAGCCCGCGUCCGAUUAGCUAGUUGGUGAGGUAAUGGCUCACCAAGGCGACGAUCGGUAGCUGGUCUGAGAGGAUGACCAGCCACACUGGGACUGAGACACGGCCCAGACUCCUACGGGAGGCAGCAGUGGGGAAUAUUGGACAAUGGGCGCAGGCCUGAUCCAGCCAUGCCGCGUGAGUGAUGAAGGCCUUAGGGUUGUAAAGCUCUUUCGACGGGGACGAUGAUGACGGUACCCGUAGAAGAAGCCCCGGCUAACUUCGUGCCAGCAGCCGCGGUAAUACGAAGGGGGCUAGCGUUGUUCGGAAUUACUGGGCGUAAAGCGCGCGCAGGCGGUUCGAUUAG
rnacentral:rRNA from 1 species